UUCUGCUUGAGAUUUGAUGAUCCUAUUUGACGUUGAGUUGGCUCUUUCCGGAUUAAAUUUCCCUUGUCCCUUUCUGUUAGUUCUGUUGUUAAUUUAUGAAUCUAGUUUAUGUGUUUUCUUAAUCUGAUGUGCGGAAGUAUUCAAUAUAUUUUCAAUAGUAUAAAUUGUGUGAGUUUGAGUAAUUUACUGUUUUUUUUAUGGCAUGGGCUCCUUCUACAUGCGAACUAAUGUCUUAGUACAUGUGUUAAUCGUUCACAUCUUUAAAAUCCUGCUAUGUUUACAUCUCUGAAAUCUUGCUUCUAGCAGUGUUGGUUGCGUAUUCUUAAUUAUCCUUCAUGUCAAAGUUAGUAGUUUCAAGUAUGUGAAGAUAAGCUUACACAUAAUAAAUGAGUUAAUGGUCACAUGUGACUACCUUUAUUGUUAAUCCAUCUGUUAUGCUUUCAUAUUAAAUCUCUGUUUCCUAGUCCAAUUUUUGCUUUAAUUACCUCUAAGUCAUGUUAUACCUCUAUGUGGUUCCUAGUCUAAUUAUUGUUUUAAGAUGUGGAUUAUUAUAAUAUGUCGAUUAUUUCUAUAUCUUUUAAUUGCCUAGAUGUGUGAUAAUAAAUAGUUUUACCAUUUAUUAUUACUGUCCAAUAUGCCUUUGUGUGAUUCCCUUUUGUAGUAUUGUAUGUUAAUGUGCACUUUUCUUGAGAUAAUGCAUAUUUUCCAGUAAGUUAGCUUACUUCUUCCUAUAUUAUAUUAGUUGGAUUAUAUAUUAACUCUUUUCC
rnacentral:lncRNA from 1 species